rnacentral:rRNA from 1 species
GAUGAACGCUGGCGGCGUGCCUAAUACAUGCAAGUCGAGCGAACCACUUCGGUGGUGAGCGGCGAACGGGUGAGUAACACGUAGGUGAUCUGCCCAUCAGACGGGGACAACGAUUGGAAACGAUCGCUAAUACCGGAUAGGACGAAAGUUUAAAGGUGCUUCUGGCACCGCUGAUGGAUGAGCCUGCGGCGCAUUAGCUAGUUGGUAGGGUAAAGGCCUACCAAGGCGAUGAUGCGUAGCCGACCUGAGAGGGUGAACGGCCACACUGGGACUGAGACACGGCCCAGAAUCCUACGGGAGGCAGCAGUAGGGAAUCUUCGGCAAUGGGCGAAAGCCUGACCGAGCAACGCCGCGUGAAUGAUGAAGGCCUUCGGGUUGUAAAAUUCUGUUAUAAGGGAAGAUCGACUUUAGUAGGAAAUGGCUAGAGUGUGACGGUACCUUAUGAGAAAGCCACGGCUAACUACGUGCCAGCCGCCGCCGUAAUAC